GCCAGCCCGCUCAGAAACUUAAAGGAAGUUGACGGGGGCCCGCACAAGCGGAGGAGCAUGUGGUUUAAUUCGAUGAUACGCGAGGAACCUUACCUGGGCUCGAACGUAAGAUGACUGUAGGUGAAAGCUUACAUCUCUUCGGAGCAUUUUACGAGGUGCUGCAUGGUUGUCGUCAGCUCGUGCCGUGAGGUGUCGGGUUAAGUCCCAUAACGAGCGCAACCCCUACCUUUAGUUGCCAUCAGGUUAAGCUGGGGACUCUAAAGGAACUGCCUACGCAAGUAGUGAGGAAGGCGGGGAUGACGUCAAAUCAGCACGGCCCUUAUGUCCUGGGCUACACACGUGCUACAAUGGCCGGUACAGAGCGCAGCGAAGCCGCGAGGCGAAGCGAAUCGCAAAAAGCCGGUCUCAGUACGGAUUGGAGUCUGAAACCCGACUCCAUGAAGUUGGAAUCGCUAGUAAUCGCGCAUCAGCCAUGGCGCGGUGAAUACGUUCCCGGGCCUU
rnacentral:rRNA from 1 species